rnacentral:rRNA from 1 species
UAGUUGCCAUCUUUCAGUAGGGCACUCUAAGGAAACUGCCGGUGAUAAGCCGGAGGAAGGUGUGGAUGACGUCAAGUCCUCAUGGCCCUUACGGGUUGGGCUACACACGUGCUACAAUGGUGGUGACAAUGGGAUAAUCCCAAAAAGCCAUCUCAGUUCGGAUUGGGGUCUGCAACUCGACCCCAUGAAGUCGGAAUC